CAUUUUAUAGCCUAGACUUGAAAGUCGCACACAUGGCUCCACUGUAGUCUAUUAGUUAUAUUCAGUCUCUAAAACCUUCCCAGAAUCAGGGGAUAGAGUUAAAACUUCUUGAAGAGAUAAAUGUCAAAGAAUGUAGAGAACAAAACUGCAUUAUGGGUGAAGAAACUGAGGCACAAUGGAAUGACUUACCCAAAUCACCCAGCUGGUGAAGAACAAAACCAGGGAUCAAAGCCAUAGGCAUCGUGUUUAAAGUGGAGAUAAGCAAUAGCAGCCUAACAGAUCUGGGAGAGGAGUUAGAAGAGAGAGCAUCAAAG